AGGCCCAGCUCCCGCCCUCUCCGCGGAGCAGUGAAGCGGGGGUUCCGGCUGGGCCUACACAGGGAUGAUGAGCUUUUGCUUUACUGAAGAGUGAUGAGCACGCCCUUCACUGACCUCUUUUCUCUAA
rnacentral:snoRNA from 1 species